rnacentral:sRNA from 1 species
AGGGGGUGCCUUUCAGGCAUCCUCUCCUAAAAACUUUCAUGGGCCGGCCCUUCGUGGGACCGGCCCUUUUUUCUUGUCCCC